rnacentral:rRNA from 1 species
GUUCAAGCAGCCGCGGUAAUACAGAGGGGGCAAGCGUUGUUCGGAAUUACUGGGCGUAAAGGGCGCGUAGGCGGCCAACUAAGUCAGACGUGAAAUCCCCAGGCUCAACCUGGGAACUGCGUCUGAUACUGGAUGGCUCGAGUUCGGGAGAGGGAAGUGGAAUUCCAGGUGUAGCGGUGAAAUGCGUAGAUAUCUGGAGGAACACCGGUGGCGAAGGCGGCUUCCUGGACCGACACUGACGCUGAGGCGCGAAAGCCAGGGGAGCAAACGGGAUUAGAUACCCCCGUAGUCC